rnacentral:rRNA from 1 species
AUACGGAGGGUGCAAGCGUUAAUCGGAAUUACUGGGCGUAAAGCGCUCGUAGGCGGCUUGUUAAGUCGGAUGUGAAAACCCGGGGCUCAACCCCGCGGAAUGCAGGUGAAACUGGCAGACUUGAGACCGGUAGAGGCUAGCGGAAUUCCUGGUGUAGCGGUGGAAUGCGUAGAUAUCAGGAAGAACACCUGUGGCGAAGGCGGCUAGCUGGGCCGGUUCUGACACUGAACUGCGAAAGCGUGGGGAGCAAACAGGAUUAGAAACCCCGGUAGUCC